rnacentral:rRNA from 1 species
CCUACGGGUGGCAGCAGUGGGGAAUAUUGCACAAUGGGGGAAACCCUGAUGCAGCGACGCCGCGUGAGUGAAGAAGUAAUUCGUUAUGUAAAGCCCUAUCAGCAGGGAAGCAAAUGACGGUACCUGAGUCAGAAGCCCCGGCUAACUACGUGCCAGCAGCCGCGGUAAUACGUCGGGGGCAAGCGUUAUCCGGAUUUAAUGGGUGUAAAGGGAGCGUAGACGGCUGUGCAAGUCUGGAGUGAAAGGCGGGGGCUCAACCCCCGGACUGCUCUGGAAACUGUACGGCUGGAGUGCAGGAGAGGUACGUGGAAUUCCUGGUGUAGCGGUGAAAUGCGUAGAUAUUAGGAGGAACACCAGUGGCGAAGGCGGCUUACUGGACUGUAACUGACGUUGAGGCUCGAAAGCGUGGGGAGCGAACAGGAUUAGAUACCCUUGUAGUC